CAGAGGGUGCGAACGUUGCUCGGAAUUACUGGGCGUAAAGCGCGUGUAGGCGGGUCGGCAAGUCAGGCGUGAAAUCCCCAGGCUCAACCUGGGAACUGCGCUUGAAACUGCCGGUCUUGAGUAUCAGAGAGGGUGGCGGAAUUCCUGGUGUAGAGGUGAAAUUCGUAGAUAUCAGGAGGAACACCGGUGGCGAAGGCGGCCACCUGGACGAUUACUGACGCUGAGACGCGAAAGCGUGGGGGAGCAAACAGGAUUAGAUACCCUGGUAGUCCACGCCGUAAACGAUGGGUGCUAGGUGUCUCGGGUAUUGACCCCUGAGGUGCCGUAGCUAACGCGUUAAGCACCCCGCCUGGGAAGUACGGCCGCAAGGCUA
rnacentral:rRNA from 1 species